rnacentral:rRNA from 1 species
AGUGAACGCUGGCGGUAGGCCUAACACAUGCAAGUCGAACGGCAGCACAGUAAGAGCUUGCUCUUACGGGUGGCGAGUGGCGGACGGGUGAGGAAUACAUCGGAAUCUACUUUUUCGUGGGGGAUAACGUAGGGAAACUUACGCUAAUACCGCAUACGACCUACGGGUGAAAGCAGGGGAUCUUCGGACCUUGCGCGAUUGAAUGAGCCGAUGUCGGAUUAGCUAGUUGGCGGGGUAAAGGCCCACCAAGGCGACGAUCCGUAGCUGGUCUGAGAGGAUGAUCAGCCACACUGGAACUGAGACACGGUCCAGACUCCUACGGGAGGCAGCAGUGGGGAAUAUUGGACAAUGGGCGCAAGCCUGAUCCAGCCAUACCGCGUGGGUGAAGAAGGUCUUCGGGUUGUAAAGCCCUUUUGUUGGGAAAGAAAAGCAGCAGGUUAAUACCCCGCUGUUCCGACGGUACCCAAAGAAUAAGCACCGGCUAACUUCGUG